ACUUGGAAAUAGCGGGACCCGGAGAUUGGUAGAUCCGGGCGUAAGGGACCGAAUACGAGUAGGGAAGUCCGCGAUGUUCCGAGGCGAGAAAAGGCGAAGGUAGGGUGCCCGUACCGCAAACCGACACAGGUAGAUGAGGAGAGAAUCCUAAGGCCAACGGGAGAAGGGUUGUUAAGGAACUCGGCAAAAUGACCCCGUAACUUCGGGAUGAGGGGAGCCUGUCUAUGGCAGGCCGCAGAGAAUAGGCCCAAGCGACUGUUUACCAAAAACACAGGUCUAUGCUAAAUCGAAAGAUGACGUAUAUGGGCUGACGCCUGCCCGGUGCUGGAAGGUUAAGAGGAGAUGUCAGGCAACGAAGCAUUGAAUCGAAGCCCCAGUAAACGGCGGCCGUAACAAUAACGGUCCUAAGGUAGCGAAAUUCCUUGUCAGGUAAGUUCUGACCCGCACGAAUGGCGUAACGAUUUGGGCGCUGUCUCAACAGCCCACCCGGCGAAAUUGUUGUACUGGUGAAGAAGCCAGUUACCCGCAACUAGACGGAAAGACCCCAUGGAGCUUUACUGCAGCUUAAUACUGGAAUUCGGUAAUUCAUGUACAGGAUAGGUGGGAGACUGAGAACUAACGUCGUCAGGCGCUAGGGAGUCGCCCUUGGGAUACCACUCUUGAAUUGCUGGGUUUCUAACCUGCGGCCGUGAAUCCGGUCGGGGGACACUGUUAGGCAGACAGUUUGACUGGGGCGGUCGCCUCCUAAAAGGUAACGGAGGCGCUCAAAGGUUGGCUCAGCACGGACGGAAAUCGUGCAAUGAGUGUAAACGUAUAAGCCAGCCUAACUGCGAGAGUGACGGCUCGAGCAGUAACGAAAGUUGGAGUUAGUGAUCCGGUGGUAUGUGAGUGGAAAUGCCAUCGCUCAACGGAUAAAAGCUACCCUGGGGAUAACAGGCUGAUCUCCCCCAAGCGUCCACAGCGACGGGGAGGUUUGGCACCUCGAUGUCGGCUCGUCACAUCCUGGGGCUGUACUCGGUCCCAAGGGUUCGGCUGUUCGCCGAUUAAAGUGGCACGCGAGCUGGGUUCAGAACGUCGUGAGACAGUUCGGUCCCUAUCUGUUGCGGGCGUAAGAGAUUUGAAGGGGGCUGUCCUUAGUACGAGAGGACCGGGAUGGACGCACCUCUGGUGCACCUGUUGUCGUGCCAACGGCAUAGCAGGGUAGCUACGUGCGGACGAGAUAAACGCUGAAAGCAUCUAAGCGUGAAACUUUCCCUAAGAUAAGAUCUCUCAUCCUUCAUGGAGUAAGGCACGAUGUAGACUAUAUCGUAGAUAGGCCGGAGGUGGAAGUGCAGUAAUGUAUGGAGCUGACCGGUACUAAUAAGCCGAGGGCUUGACC
rnacentral:rRNA from 1 species